GGGAGUUUAGCUCAGUUGGUAGAUCGCCUGCUUUGCGAGCAAGAUGUCAGGAAUUCUAGUCUCCUCACCUCCU
rnacentral:tRNA from 1 species